UACGUAGGCAGCAAGCGUUGUUCGGAAUUACUGGGCGUAAAGAGUGUGUAGGCGGUGCUCCAAGUCUGGUGUGAAAUCUCCCGGCUCAACUGGGAGGGUGCAUUAGAAACUGGAAUGCUAGAGGAUGGGAGAGGUAAGCGGAAUUCCUGGUGUAGCGGUGAAAUGCGUAGAUAUCGGGAGGAACACCAGUGGCGAAGGCGGCUUUCUGGCCUGUUCUUGACGCUGAGGCGCGAAAGCUAGGGUAGCAAACGGG
rnacentral:rRNA from 1 species